GCCUUCGUGGUGUAACGGUAGCACAAUUGGCUCGUAUUCAAUGGGUCCAGUUGCGAGUCUUGUCGAGGACA
rnacentral:tRNA from 1 species